rnacentral:rRNA from 1 species
ACGGAAGGCAGCAGUGGGGAAUAUUGCACAAUGGGGGAAACCCUGAUGCAGCAACGCCGCGUGAGUGAAGAAGUAUUUCGGUAUGUAAAGCUCUAUCAGCAGGGAAGAUAAUGACGGUACCUGACUAAGAAGCUCCGGCUAAAUACGUGCCAGCAGCCGCGGUAAUACGUAUGGAGCAAGCGUUAUCCGGAUUUACUGGGUGUAAAGGGUGCGUAGGCGGGCUUGCAAGUCAGGCGUGAAAUACCGGGGCUUAACUCCGGGGCUGCGCUUGAAACUGUAAGUCUUGAGUGAAGUAGAGGCAGGCGGAAUUCCCAGUGUAGCGGUGAAAUGCGUAGAUAUUGGGAGGAACACCAGUGGCGAAGGCGGCCUGCUGGGCUUUAACUGACGCUGAGGCACGAAAGUAUGGGGAGCAAACAGGAUUAGAUACCCUGGUA